rnacentral:misc_RNA from 1 species
GGGUUAAUGGUGAGGGAUCUUUUGCAACCUGCAAUAGUUUGGCUUCUUAAGCUUAGUGGUGGCUCUUCUUCCUUUUGUAGCUAUGUUCGUUUUUGACGGGUAGGGGUUGGUCAGCAACGGUUAUUCUCUGACUUAAAGCCAGGAGAUUUUGCGGGAUCCAUGGGUCUCCUUUUAGUUGCAUGGUAACUUUUAGAGACGUAUCGGUGGCCUCUCGUCGACAUUCAGUCUCUUAAAAGGAGAAGGGUUCUAAGGAUCUCUGUCUCUUGGCUAUGUGGUCCCCUUGGCUUCAGAUUCGGCUUCUUCCUUGGCUCCAUGUUCUUUGCUGUGAAAAGGUCUUUUGGGUUGCUCAGUUUCUUGGAGGUGUUUAUGAGUAUGGUAUCA